rnacentral:rRNA from 1 species
AAUGGGCGCAAGCCUGAUGCAGCCAUGCCGCGUGUGUGAAGAAGGCCUUCGGGUUGUAAAGCACUUUCAUGUCGUGAGGAAGGUAGUGUAGUUAAUAGCUGCAUUAUUUGACGUUAGCGACAGAAGAAGCACCGGCUAACUCCGUGCCAGCAGCCGCGGUAAUACGGAGGGUGCGAGCGUUAAUCGGAAUUACUGGGCGUAAAGCGCAUGCAGGUGGUUUGUUAAGUCAGAUGUGAAAGCCCGGGGCUCAACCUCGGAAUUGCAUUUGAAACUGGCAGACUAGAGUACUGUAGAGGGGGGUAGAAUUUCAGGUGUAGCGGUGAAAUGCGUAGAGAUCUGAAGGAAUACCGGUGGCGAAGGCGGCCCCCUGGACAGAUACUGACACUCAGAUGCGAAAGCGUGGGGAGCAAACAGGAUUAGAUACCCUGGUAGUCCACGCCGUAAACGAUGUCUACUUGGAGGUUGUGGCCUUGAGCCGUGGCUUUCGGAGCUAACGCGUUAAGUAGACCGCCUGGG